UGGAGAUUAAUCAGAAAUCCUGAAGUUGGACUCCAUUAUUGAAAUCACCACUAUGCAGCCUAUCAUGGAUCUACUUCCAAAACUAACAAUGAGAUCAACUGGACAACUGAGAACUUCCCCACUAUUUUUCCAUGCUUAUAAAUCCCAGUAAAGGAUGUUGCCAGAGCAUGGACAGUUUGAGUAUAGGGAGAGGCUAAAUACUAUGGGGCAUUUCUCCCUGGAAUAUCAAAGGCUGAGAGCAUCUUGGAAUGUUUCAUCUUGGCGUGAGAAGACAGUUUUCAUAUUUCAUCAAAGGCAUUGCAUCUCUAACGAGCAACAUUGCUUCAGCACUUUAUUGGAGCUCCAACCGUGAUUUUGUGCUCAGUCCAAGAGUAGCACUAGAACCCAUAACCUCUGUUUUAUUUCAGCAAUUUUUCAAGUGUUAAACAUAACUCAGGUACCUGGCUCUGUCCAUGUUCUGUGUCAACAUAACGAGGCAUUGGAAAGCGGGUCUGAAGGAUUUCCUGAGCAUCAUCUAGGGGAGCUUGCAAAAGUUGUUUGAAGUUCUCAUACUCCUGCAUAUCUUGAUAUCCAGCCUUCCGCCACUGAG